CCUACGGGGGCUGCAGUGGGGAAUAUUGGACAAUGGGGGGAACCCUGAUCCAGCCAUGCCGCGUGUGUGAAGAAGGCCCUCGGGUUGUAAAGCACUUUCAGUGAGGAAGAACGCCUGGUGGUUAAUACCCAUCAGGAAAGACAUCACUCACAGAAGAAGCACCGGCUAACUCCGUGCCAGCAGCCGCGGUAAUACGGAGGGUGCGAGCGUUAAUCGGAAUUACUGGGCGUAAAGCGCGCGUAGGUGGCUUGAUAAGCCGGUUGUGAAAGCCCCGGGCUCAACCUGGGAACGGCAUCCGGAACUGUCAAGCUAGUGUGCAGGAGAGGAAGGUAGAAUUCCCGGUGUAGCGGUGAAAUGCGUAGAGAUCGGGAGGAAUACCAGUGGCGAAGGCGGCCUUCUGGACUGACACUGACACUGAGGUGCGAAAGCGUGGGUAGCAAACAGGAUUAGAUACCCCUGUAGUC
rnacentral:rRNA from 1 species